UACGUAGGGUGCGAGCGUUAAUCGGAAUUACUGGGCGUAAAGCGUGGGCAGGCGGCUUUGCAAGACAGAUGUGAAAUCCCCGGGCUCAACCUGGGAACUGCAUUUGUGACUGCAAGGCUAGAGUACGGCAGAGGGGGAUGGAAUUCCGCGUGUAGCAGUGAAAUGCGUAGAUAUGCGGAGGAACACCAAUGGCGAAGGCAAUCCCCUGGGCCUGUACUGACGCUCAUGCACGAAAGCGUGGGGAGCAAACAGG
rnacentral:rRNA from 1 species